rnacentral:rRNA from 2 species
UGCAGUCGAGCGGACAGAUGGGAGCUUGCUCCCUGAUGUUAGCGGCGGACGGGUGAGUAACACGUGGGUAACCUGCCUGUAAGACUGGGAUAACUCCGGGAAACCGGGGCUAAUACCGGAUGGUUGUUUGAACCGCAUGGUUCAGACAUAAAAGGUGGCUUCGGCUACCACUUACAGAUGGACCCGCGGCGCAUUAGCUAGUUGGUGAGGUAACGGCUCACCAAGGCGACGAUGCGUAGCCGACCUGAGAGGGUGAUCGGCCACACUGGGACUGAGACACGGCCCAGACUCCUACGGGAGGCAGCAGUAGGGAAUCUUCCGCAAUGGACGAAAGUCUGACGGAGCAACGCCGCGUGAGUGAUGAAGGUUUUCGGAUCGUAAAGCUCUGUUGUUAGGGAAGAACAAGUGCCGUUCAAAUAGGGCGGCACCUUGACGGUACCUAACCAGAAAGCCACGGCUAACUACGUGCCAGCAGCCGCGGUAAUACGUAGGUGGCAAGCGUUGUCCGGAAUUAUUGGGCGUAAAGGGCUCGCAGGCGGUUUCUUAAGUCUGAUGUGAAAGCCCCCGGCUCAACCGGGGAGGGUCAUUGGAAACUGGGGAACUUGAGUGCAGAAGAGGAGAGUGGAAUUCCACGUGUAGCGGUGAAAUGCGUAGAGAUGUGGAGGAACACCAGUGGCGAAGGCGACUCUCUGGUCUGUAACUGACGCUGAGGAGCGAAAGCGUGGGGAGC